GCGGGGAUGCCGGAGCGGUCAAACGGGAUAGGCUUAGGCAGGUGUUACGAGCAUAAGCGAUGACCUGAAGACACCUAUUAGCUUAGUGCUUACGGGGGUUCGAAUCCUCCUCCCCGCA
rnacentral:tRNA from 1 species